AUUGAACGCUGGCGGCAGGCCUAACACAUGCAAGUCGAGCGGAGCGGCGGACGGGUGAGUAAUGCCUAGGCAUCUGCCUGGUAGUGGGGGAUAACGUCCGGAAACGGGCGCUAAUACCGCAUACUAUCAGAUGAGCCUAGGUCGGUUUAGCUAGUGGGUGGGGUAAAGGCCUACCAAGGCGACGAUCCGUAACUGGUCUGAGAGGAGGAUCAGUCACACUGGAACGGAGACACGUCCCAGACUCCAACGGGAGGAGGCAGUGGGGAAUAUCGGAAAAGGGGCGAAAGCCUGAGCCAGCCAUGCCGCGUGUGUGUAGAAGGUCUUCGGAUUGUAAAGCACUUUAAGUUGGGAGGCGUUACCAACAGAAUAAGCAACGGCUAACUUCGUGCCAGCAGCCGCGGUAAUAC
rnacentral:rRNA from 1 species